UACGGGGGGGGUAAGCGUUGUUCGGAAUUACUGGGCGUAAAGGGCUCGUAGGCGGCCAACUAAGUCAUACGUGAAAUCCCUCAGCUUAACUGGGGAACUGCGUGUGAUACUGGAUGGCUUGGAUUUGGGAGAGGGAUGCGGAAUUCCAGGUGUAGCGGUGAAAUGCGUAGAUAUCUGGAGGAACACCAAUUGCGAAGGCAGCUCGCUGGGACGUUACUGACGCUGAGACGCGAAAGCGUGGGGAGCAAACAGG
rnacentral:rRNA from 1 species